UCCUCAUUCUUAUACACGAAUUUUUUUUUCGGAAAUUAUAACAAUUCCGCGUUUCCGUUUUAACACCAAUCAUAAAUCUUGACAUAUUUUACAACCCGCAUACGAAUCAAGCACCAACCAUUUCCAGAAUUACGAGACUUGCGAGAUACUAUAUAACCGACACCCACAAACCUUUCUCGACAUCUCGAUACCCCACACACCUCCUCUCCCCUUGAACCGUGACACUACACAACACCGCAACACUUUUCGCAUAACCUCGCACUCUCGCCGGAACAACCGGAGCUUUGCCAGAGAGAAACAAACAUCGCCGGAGAUCGAGAAGACGACCGGAAACCUCCACGUCGUUCACGUUCGUUACGAAUUGUCCUUUUGAAGAAGAUGAUACACGUCUCGGGAUUCACGUCGGAGUUUAACUUGGUUCUCUCGGAUAAUCACUCUCGUGCAUUUGGGUUCUCCAUCUUUACUCGUACCUUCUUACAAGAAAGCGCAACGCAAUCAAUGUUGAAUGAUCAAGAAAACAAGAAUCAAGCUAGGAUGGACAUUAGAAACCCACUUAGCAUUUUUGAUUAUUGUCGAAUGUUAUGUUUAUUUAUUUGGAACUAUGUACCCUACCUUAGAAUUUAAUAAAACGAUUUAAUUCAU